rnacentral:lncRNA from 1 species
AGCCUUAACAUGAAAUGAAGAUACAUGUAUUAAUGAAGAUAGUAGUAGAAGGAUAUUACAGUAGAUAUUAUACGCCUAUGAUAGAUACAGGAGCAGAAGCUAAUUUAUGUAGAUAUAAUUGCUUACCAGAAAGCAAAUGGGAUAAACUAAAAACACCAAUAAUAGUUAAAGGAUUUAAUAAUGAAGGAAGCUUAAUUACUUAUAAAGCUAGGAAUGUAAAAAUACAAGUAUGGGAUAAGAUAUUAACAAUAGAAGAAAUUUAUAAUUAUGAAUUAACAUCAAAAGAUAUACUUUUAGGAAUGCCAUUUUUAGAUAAAUUAUACCCACAUAUAAUAACCAAAACAGACUGGUGGUUUACAACACCAUGCAAACAAAAAGUAAGAGCAAAAAGAGUUAAUAAUAAAAUAAGAAAGAAAACUGAUUGGAUAAAAGGAAGUGAAAAAAUUACACAAAAGUUAGAAAAUAUAAACAAUACUGAAGAUACAGUAGAACUAGUAGUAUUUUCGAUAAAUAAAACAGAAAUAACUAUAUUUUCAAUAAAUAAAAUAGAAAUAAUUCAGAAAAAAUUAGAACAAUUAUAUAGUGAAGAUCCAUUAAAAGGAUGGGAAAAACACAAAACUACUAUAAAAAUUGAAUUAAUAGAUAAGAAUAGCAUAAUAACACAAAAACCAUUAACAUAUAAUUUUGAUGAUUUAAAAGAAUUUAAAAUGCACAUAGAUGAAUUAUUAGAAAAACAAUAUAUACAAAAAAGUAAUAGUAAACAUAAUAGUCCAGCAUUUAUAGUAAAUAAACAUAGUGAACAAAAAAGAGGAAAAAGUAGGAUGGUUAUUGACUAUAGAAAUUUAAAUGCAAAAACUAUAACAUAUAAUUAUCCGAUACCAAAUAAGAUAUUAAAAAUAAGACAAAUCCAAGGAUAUAAUUAUUUUAGCAAAUUUGAUUGUAAAUCAGGAUUUUACCACCUAAAGCUAGAAGAAGAAUCUAAAGAAUUAACCGCAUUUACGGUACCACAAGGAUUUUAUGAAUGGAACGUGUUACCAUUUGGAUAUAAAAAUGCACCAGGUAGAUAUCAACAUUUUAUGGAUAAUUAUUUUAAACAAUUAUCUAAUUGUAUAGUAUACAUAGAUGAUAUAUUAUUAUACACCAAAACCAAAGAAGAACAUUUAAAAUUAUUAGAACAAUUCACAGAUAUAAUAGAAAAAUCAGGAAUAAGUCUAAGCAAAAAGAAAGCUGAAAUUAUGAAAAACCAGAUAGAAUUUUUAGGAAUACAAAUAGAUAAAAGUGGAGUAAAAAUGCAACAACAUAUAGUACAAAAAAUAAUAAAUUCGAAAGAAGAAUUAGAUACAAAAAAGAAAUUACAAUCAUUUUUAGGAUUAGUAAACCAAGUAAGAGAAUAUAUUCCAAAAUUAGCAGAAACCUUAAAACCACUGCAGAAAAAAUUAAAAAAGGAUAUAGAAUAUAAUUAUGAUGAAAAAGAUAAAAAACAAGUUCAAAAAAUAAAAUUACUUUGUAGAGAAUUACCAAAAUUGCAAUUUCCAGAUGAAAAUAGAAAAUUUAUAUAUAUAGUAGAAGCAGAUGCAAGUGAAUAUAGUUACGGAGGAGUACUUAAAUAUCGAUAUGAAGCAGAAAAAAUAGAACACCAUUGUAGAUACUACUCAGGUACGUUCAACGAGACAGAAAUAAAAUGGGAAAUAAAUAGGAAAGAAUUAUGUUCAUUAUAUAAAUGUUUAUUAGCAUUUGAGCCAUAUAUUGUAUAUAACAAAUUUAUUGUACGAACAGAUAAUACACAGGUACGCUGGUGGUUAACAAAGAAAAUACAAAAUUCAGUUACAACAAAAGAGAUUCGAAGACUAGUUUUAAAUAUAUUAAAUUUCACAUUUACAAUUGAAGUGAUCAGUACUAACAAAAAUGUUAUUGCAGAUUACAUAUCAAGACAAAGCUACACAGACUGAAAUAGUAGAGGAAGAUACUCUAGAAAAAAUACUUAACACCCUAACUACGCUUUCAAUGAAAGUGGACAGUAUGGGUAAUGAGAUAGAAAAGCUAAAGACUAAUGAAGAUAAACUGAAGUCUAUAGCUACAAAUCAGCUAACUCAGCAGUGUGCAGAGCUAUGUCGACCGGAAGACAUUAAAAAUCCAGAGCUAGAAGGAGACGUUGGGACACUCCAUAAAACCCAUAACAUUUAUCAAUCUACUUCUGCAGGUACAAGCAAAGGAGUUAAUAGACCAAGAUACCAGAAUGUAAAUAUGAACAAAAUAUUUGAAAAACCAUUUACCCCAAAAGCACAAAAAGACCAUUUAUUCAUACCCCCACAAGUUAACACAUACCGAGACAGCCUAAACCAAGACAAGAAAAUAUACAACUACACAGCCCAAAAAUACAUAGAAAAUAUAUAUAGAGUCCAAACCUUUCUAAACCAUAACCCCAGAGCUACAAAUAUCCAAGAACCAAAUACCAAUUAUAUAACCCAAAAACUACAAGGAUACAAUAAACUGAUAGCACUACCCAAAACUAACCCAAGCCUAGUUAAAACCUGUUUUGACUAUGGACUACUAAAUACCAUAUACACCCAAGACGGAGAAGAGCUAACAGCUAUGGAGGAAUUAUACAAGAUAUUCACUACCUACAAAAGAAUAAAAAAAGGAAAUUUAUUUUAUAUAAAGUGUUAUACUGCACCAGCAGAGAUAUUAUAUGAUGAAAUAAAACCAGUGAUACAGGUUGUAAAGAUAGGACUGACAAGAGAUAUGAUUAUACCAGAAGAUAUUUCGCAACAACCAGAGAUACCUAGAAUCGAGAUACCAGAUUUUUAUGCAAAUAAAAGACUUAUUGGACUAGCUACGAUCAUACAAGAACUAGCAAAUAACUACGCUAACGGAAAUCCAAUAUGGAGCUACUAUUCAAGAGAUCACCAAAUGAUAUAUUCAAAUUCGAAAGAACUAAGACAAGCAGAUAUGGAAGACGUAAGACAAUGGAUACUGACGCUACUUAACCCAGAAAAACAAUCUACCGCGCGAGCAAUAAGAAAAGGAUUUAUUUCAGACGGACUGCUAACCAGAUACUGUAAGAUAAUCGGACAUAAAUAUCCAGACCACCAAUGUUCGAGGUGCAAUGGAGAAGAUAAUAUUAUUCCAGAGGUACACCUAGAAUAAAGAAGAUAAAAUACCAGCUGGAAGGAUAAGAUAAAGAGCAAUAAUGGAGCAGAUACAGAAGCAAUAAUGGAGCAGAUACAGAACAAUAAUGGAGCAAAUACGACAAAAACCAACGGAGACAAGAUACUGUACAGAAGCAGAAUUAUUAUACNNNNNNNNNNNNNNNNNNNNNNNNNNNNNNNNNNNNNNNNNNNNNNNNNNNNNNNNNNNNNNNNNNNNNNNNNNNNNNNNNNNNNNNNNNNNNNNNNNNNNNNNNNNNNNNNNNNNNNNNNNNNNNNNNNNNNNNNNNNNNNNNNNNNNNNNNNNNNNNNNNNNNNNNNNNNNNNNNNNNNNNNNNNNNNNNNNNNNNNNNNNNNNNNNNNNNNNNNNNNNNNNNNNNNNNNNNNNNNNNNNNNNNNNNNNNNNNNNNNNNNNNNNNNNNNNNNNNNNNNNNNNNNNNNNNNNNNNNNNNNNNNNNNNNNNNNNNNNNNNNNNNNNNNNNNNNNNNNNNNNNNNNNNNNNNNNNNNNNNNNNNNNNNNNNNNNNNNNNNNNNNNNNNNNNNNNNNNNNNNNNNNNNNNNNNNNNNNNNNNNNNNNNNNNNNNNNNNNNNNNNNNNNNNNNNNNNNNNNNNNNNNNNNNNNNNNNNNNNNNNNNNNNNNNNNNNNNNNNNNNNNNNNNNNNNNNNNNNNNNNNNNNNNNNNNNNNNNNNNNNNNNNNNNNNNNNNNNNNNNNNNNNNNNNNNNNNNNNNNNNNNNNNNNNNNNNNNNNNNNNNNNNNNNNNNNNNNNNNNNNNNNNCCUUGCUAAUAGUGACCGAAGAACAUGUUAUUUAAGAAUAAUCUAGUAUAUAGUAAUCUAAGAUGACCAUAUUUUGUUAUGUACAUGAUUGAAGGGAAUAUUUUGAAAAUAGCAAUUUUAUGAAAAUGAAUAAUUAUUUAUCUGCUGUGAUAUUAGAUAAAUUUAAAAUACUUAUUUUGUAUGCACUUAAGGAUAUAAAAGUAGUAGAUAUAAGAAAAAUCAUAUUAGAAAAAGCAUUUGGUAAAUAUUAUAUGACUAGAAUAAAUUACAUACCAUACCUACCUAACUACUCUUACAAAUACUUACCAUGAUAAAUUACAUAUAUCUAGAAUUUUUGGAAAAAGAUAUGAGAAACAUACAGUUAAUAGAAAAACAGAUGAAAGUAAAUUUAGACAAAUACAUGGAAACUAAAGAUAUAAAAUAUAUAGAAUUUCUUAAUGAAAAUAUGCAAGAACUACUAAGGCUAAAACAAACAACUACAAAAUAUUAUAAUAAAAUAUUUAGUCAAUUUUAAAUGAUAGAUAAUCUUAAAGUCUUAAUCUUAUAUAUACUUAGAGAUAUAGAAAUUAUAGAUAUUAAGAUAAUAAUAUUAGAAAAAGUAAUAGACUACGAAAUUGAAACCACAAAUUGUCUAGAACCGUUAUACGAAGAAAUUUACCCAGAAGGAUAUUAUUCAGAUUAAAAAAAAAAUGUUAGAAUACAUUAGAAAAACUAGAGAAAAUCAAGAAAAUCUAAAUAAUGAAAUUAAUUAUAGAAACCGAAUUAGGAAAAUAAUGGAAGACCUAAAAGAAAAAUUAAUAUGGAUAGAAAAAACCUUAGAAAAUUUAGAUAAAAGUACAUGUGAUAGCUUAUAUAAUUUAAAAAACUCACUACGAGAAGAACAACACAAGAUAAUAAAUAACAUUGAAAAUCUAGAAUUAGAUAUACAUUACAGCACAGAUAGGAUAAAUUAUUAUACAGAAAUUUGUAACUCUGCAAUUACUACAGGAUAAAAUAAUUAAUGAAUAUAUCUUACGAAAAAAGUAAAUUAUUAAAAGAUAUUGAAACAAAAUUUAAAAAAUAUGCACGCACUAAUAAAAAUAGAUUCACUAGAAACCUACUAAAUCUAUUAUACCUAUUAAAUCCGCACACCCCCCUACAAAUGGUAUCAAAGCCCAGCAAUUUAAAAAGUACGGAAGAGAAAUAUAUAUUAGAAAUAUCCGUACUUUUUAAAUUGCUGGGCUCUGAUACCAUUUGUAGGGGGGUUUACUGUAUUUUGUUUUGUGAUGUGUUGUGGUUAAUUGGGAUAAAAAUAAGUAUCUGGGCAGUUGACAUAUUUUGUCGAUUUUUGGGAAUAGUAAAUACCCCUACAAUUAUCUAUUUUGUAAUUGUGUGAUGUGCAUCUAUAUGUAACUACUGUGAAUCUUUUUAUGGCAUUAAUAUUAGGGACAUGAUAAUCAUUGUUAACAAUUAAAUGAACUGGAUAGGUAGUAGUUUGUGAUGUAUCUUUGUGCGAUGUGUUUGUGAGAUACUACCUAAUUCCCAUUGUGUGUCAAAUCUAGAACCUGCCCAGUUGGUCUUGCCUUGGUUUUAGGAGAGUGAUUAGGAAAGGAUCAUAGGCCAGUUUUUAUAUUAGUCCACUUUUAGCCUAAAUGACCUUCUAUGUUUGAAUAAUAUCCCUUGAUCCUGAUUUUGAGCCUGAAUGCCUAUAUUUUUUAUUAUUAUACUUAUCGCCUUCCCACUUGUAUCAUAAUGAACCUAUUUUGGCCCUGAUCCUCCUUGGGCAUUGUGCACUUUGACUUAGGUAAAUCGCCUAAGUUGAAGGUGGCUAUCAUAGGGCUGCAUGAUGUAAAGUGAGUAUAAAGAAGGGUAAAGUGAGUAUGAAGAAGGGUGGCUAUCAUAAUUUUUCAACUUCCUGAUAAUCCGUUAGGACUUGUCGUCAUCCGAAGGCAGCAAACAUAGAAUAUGAAGAGGAGUUGACGACAUUUUCUGAUAAGUCACAAUGAACCUGUUUUGGCCCUUUUCCUCCUUGGGCAUUGUGCACUUUAACUUAGGCAAAUCACCUAAGUUGAGGGUGGCUAUCAUAGGGGUGCAUGAUGUAAAGUGACUAUGAAGAAGGUUAAAAAAUGCAAGGCUGGGUGUGGUAGAAAAAGAAUAAGAAAAAAAAAUUAUGAAAAAGAGAAAAUGAAAGACUAAAGGACCACACCCAGCCUGAAUUAGAGAAAUAAGUUGAAGGUUGAUAAGUGAGACCCCAAAAAAAGUGUAGUGCCAAUGAGGCUUAGUCACUUUAAAUAGCCUUGCGUAUCAUACUAGCCCCAAGCCUACAUUACAAGCUGAAGAAAAGUCCUAUAGUGAUCCUAGCUUAACUGUCUAAAAGCCUCGGUGAUGAAAAUAAGGGCAAGCUUAUGGUAUUUGGCAUACAUUGACUGGAACUUCUUUCUGAGAGUGAUUAUCUCUUGACUUUCCCUGCAUUUACGUGCUUGAUUUCAUAUAUGAGUGAAGAGAGAAUUCUUUGUUGUAAGGGCACGUCGGUUGCAUUGCUAGCUGCUUACUUGUUUGGGUAGUAUAACUUGUACAUAUGCAUGGUUAUUGUUGCUAAUUUGAUGUCAUAUCUUGAUUCCUUUCUGUCACAUUGUUGAUCUUCAUUGAUAUACACAGUUGGGUUUAGAGUGAAUGAACAUAGAGAGGGUAAUGUGUGUUGAGCUAAAAUUGAUAAUCAACUAUCAUAGGUAUCUUAUGUUUCUCUUAGUUAAGCAUCGUAGUAUGGAGUUAUGUAGUUGCUUGAGGACAAGUAAUUAUUUUAAGUUGAGGGUGUUGAUGUGCUGACCUUCUGUUAGCACAUUUAAGACUUUUAACUUGGAAUAAUUGUAAGUUCUUAAGUAACUAUCGUUGUUUUUUAUGGUAUUUCAUGUGAUUUUGUAGGAAAGUCAAGAUUUAUGAACAUAUAGGAAAGCUACGUUGAGAAGGAUGAUUUUUGGUGACAGAUGCAAGAAAUUAAGUUCUGAAGACUUCAUCCGACGACUUGGUUUGAUAAGCUAUCAGAUCUGUGAUAAGCUAUCAAAAUAUGUCAUCACACAUAGGCAGAGAAUAAGAAAGUUGAAGCAUUUCUGACGACAUUUUCUAAUAAUUCGUCAACUUUAUGAUAAGCCGUCAGGACUUGUCGUCAUCCGAAGGCAGCAAACAUGGAAUUUGAAGAGGAGUUGACGACAUUUUCUCAUAAGUCGUCAACUUCCUGAUAAGCCGUCAGGACUUGUCAUCAGCCGAAGGCAGCAAAAACAUAGAAUUUGAAGAGGAGUUGACGAUAUUUUCUGAUAAGUCGUCAGACUCCUGAUAAGUCGUCACACAUGUCAUCAGAUUUGUGAUAAGCCGUCACAAAUAUCGUCAGCUAAAGGAGCGAAAAUAUAAAUUUUUAGUUUCAAAUUUCCUUUAAGUUACAAAUAUAAAUAGCAGCUUUUAGGGUUUCUUUUGACAACUGGAACUUAUUCCAAAGGCAAAGUCACCUCUUUUUGGGCCUCUUAACUGAGAAUUCCAAUUCUGUGAUUGGGUUUUGGGAACUUCUUAUUGAACUUGGAAGAGAAUCAACUUCAGAAUUCAUCUUUUGUAAGUCUAAUUUCUCUAAAUAAGGAAUACAAUUGUUGCUAUCUUUUUCUUUCUCAUGUGGAACUAAAACCCAUAACUAGGGUUGUGGGAUCUAUGAUUAUUCCUUCAUGGAUUUAAUAGUUGGUUAGGGUUAGAAUAAUUGUGGGAACAUCUUGAUAAUUCUAUUGUAAUGAUUGUUUUCUAUUGGUUGCAAACAAUAGAUCUAGCCUUAUGUUUGCUUGCUCGAACUGAGAAAUAAACUAAAGGUAGUGAAUUAUCAACGAGGAUUUGGGAAGGUUAAUUUUUCAUCUAAUGAUUAAUGUUGUAACAAGAUUAAUCAACUCGAGAUAAAAUCAGUGUGAAUAGAAGGUUUUCCUAAGUUCGAGAGAAUUAGGGAGCACAACAUCUAGGUAGGUUGAGAAACACUUAGAUGGACUGUCAAUACUGAUAAUUUGGUGUUUUCCAAAAGUCACGAGAAUCCAGUACUACAACUAUUAUUCAAUCAGGGGUUGAUAAUCAUAAUGAUCACAACCCUAGUUUCUCUCUAUCAUUGAUUUGAACCAUUGAAAUUUUAGCUUUGAGUUCUGAAGCAAGUAGAAACUUUAAUCAUCGUUUGAUUGAUAAAACCUCCAAUUAAAGGAAACCAUUAUCUAUCAGUUAUUUUAAUCAAAAAUAGACUUGAUUGACACCUUAUUCCUUGUGGGAUUUGACCCCAACCUAGUUGGGUUAUAUAUUUGACAACGACCGCUUACUCUCUCGUAAGAGAGGUGUAAUUUGGGCGUAUCAUAUGACACCUACUCUAAAUGAAGAGUGGAGAAAUUAUUUUGAUUUUCAGUUUUGAAUCCCAACCCAAAAUGAAACCCAAGACUAUUAACGAAAAUCUUUUUGUAUUUUUCUUUUCAAGGCAUGUAUGAAACACCUACUCUAUAUAAAGAGUGAAGAAAAUCUUUUUUAAAAUUUUGAAAUAAGAUCACCGAACUCUAGAAGGGUUGCCUAUGUAUCUCACUACCGAAAGAGGAGAAUCAGGUAUGUGUAGUUCGUCCAGUUUGGACAGAUAAAGAUUAAGUAACAAACUAAACCUUGACUUAGGAGAUGCAACAAAAGACGAAUGAUGGAAAACGCCAAUAAAAUCUUUUUUAGGAUUUUUAAUUUGACACUUCACAUAAAACUGACACCAACAACUAUGAAAGGAAAAAUCUUUUUGAGUAUUUUCGUUAUAUGAAAUCUAUAAAACUACAAAACUUCUACCAUCUUAUUUUUUUAAUUUUUCUUUUAUAAAAAACUUCUAUUGAUACAAAUCUUUUUGAACUUUCAAAAGUCAAUGCUUAUUAAAGAAACAAAAGAAAAAUCUUUUUGAUAUUUUUUAUUUUUGAGAAAAUAAGUGCAAAGGAUAAAAAAUCUUUUUUUUUUAUUUUUGGAUUGUGGAGAACAAAAGUCAUAAAAAACUCUAAAAAAACUACAAAACUCUUUUUUUAACUCACUUUGUUCUUUUUUUUUUUCGACCUUUUCUUGUCUACACACUUUGCUUAAAUUCUAGCACAUGCUUUUCCCAAAUCAGUCCGUCAAAUGAACCUGUUACCCUCAAAGAUGCAACAUUUAGCAUGUAGAUAUGCUUUAGGGGUAAGUCUCCUACAAAGGACCAAGUGGUUCCCGCUAGGUCUGAAUAUGAUGCAAAUAAGCAUGACCUAGAGUCUGACCUAUGAUAAUGCUCAAAUUACACUCUUCAAUUGGUGUAAGCGAUCGUUGUCAGUAUAAAACAUAACUAGGUUGGAGUCAAAUCCCACAGGGAACAAUAUGAGUGGCGAUUAAACUAGUUUGAAAGUAAAGCUACAAGUUAAAUUCAAAAAAACGAUAUAAAAAGAUAAAAUGGGGGUUUUGGAGAUUAGCAAAUAAUUUUUGGUCACUUUAAUUUCAGUGUUUGUCAAUCAAGAUUUUAUGAAAUAACCAGGAUUAUGUUCACUAGGGCUUACGGUACAUGAUAGAUGCUAAAAUUUACUCAAGACUCUCACGGUGGUUAGGAUCACAAGCUAUCUUUAUCGAUGAUAUGCUCAAAUGUCUCUGGACCUAUUCAAGCGUCUAAUUUCCUAAUCCUCUCGGACUUAAGGAAUCGCUAUGCACUGUCCAGAUUUUACCUCAGGUAAAUCAACCUUGUUACAGCGCUGAUUAUUAAAUGAAGCUUUUUCAAGUCCCUGUUGAUAAUUCACUUCUUACUAUUUAUGAUUUUUUUUCUCAAGCAAACCAAAGUAGGUACGCCUACUGUUUACAACCACUAGACAUAAAUUAUAAUCUCAGAAUUACCAAGAAAUCCUAACACCUAUUAAAUCUAGAGUAUUUAACACCUUAUCAUGACCUAACCCUAGAUCCCAUGAUCCCGGUUACAGGUGUUUAGCCACUCAUGAUGCAAGAAACAAGUAGGCAAAUUGAAUUCAUAACUAAAAGGAUUAACUUACAAUGAUGAAGAAAAUCAAAAGUAUACUUUGAUUUGAAUCACAGGGCAAAACUCCAAAAUAUUAGUUUUUGAGAGAGAGAUAGAAAUAUCGUAUAUUGUAUCUUGUAGGAUAUGUCCAAUCCUUAAUGAUCGAAUGAAUAAAAAAAAAACUAAAACAAGGCUUUAAAUAGUUAACCCUAAAUAAGGAAAUAAAAUUAAAGUUCAGACUUUCUUCGAAAUAGAUAACGGCGCUCGUGACGGCCUAUCAGGAGUUUGACGGCCUAUCACGAACGUCGUCAGCUUCUCUGCAAGUUUAGCUUCUGCUGCCUAAGGUUGACGAUGACGUUACUCCUUAUCAUCAUCUUGACGACGUGUCAUGAAUGUCAUCACAAAACUUCCUACAACUUUCAUCUUCUGUUUAAGGUUGACGGCAUCCUUGACAGCCUAUCACCAGGCUGACGACGUGUUAUGGAUAUCGUCAGCCACAGUUUGUUCUUUAUUUGCUUCCGAUUUCAUGCUUUUUGCUUCCUUUAUUUGUGGUUCCCCUUCUUCUCUAUUUAUACUGGAAAAUCAAAGUAAACUAAUCAAAAACGACUAAAGUUGCUCAAGACUUUGCAAUUAUUUAGAGUUAAAAGUUGUAAAUGUAUUAGCAUGGGCUCACACAUCAACACCCUCAACUUAAACAAUUGGUUGUCCUCAAGCAACCAGAACAUAACCAAGAGUAUACAAAGUACAAGUUGGCAGCUAACUACUCAUAUCAGUUCAGAAUAUAUGCACCAUCUCCAAGGUCAGUCAAAUUAAGAGAAACUAUGUGUAUUAUUGAAAACACCCAUGCAACUCACGAGGAUCAAGAUAUGGCAAGAAUUUUAGCAAUAACAACCCAGCACAUACCCAAAUCACACUAUCCGAUUAAGGCAGUGAUUAGCAACAUACCUAGUGUGCCCUCACAACAAAGAAAUCCCUUUUUCACUCAUGUCAGAAUUUACAUACGUAAACACAGGGAUAAACACAAAACUCACUCUCAGAAAGAAGUUCCAACAUUUCGUACCAAAUGCCAUAGGCUUGCCCCUAUAAUCAGUACCCAAGUUAUCAGACAGGUCAGUUAGGAUCACUAUAGGGCUUUUCUAAAGCUUGUAACGUAGGUUAGGGGCUGGUAUGAUAUUCAUGGAUAUUUAAGAGUGACUAUGCCUCCUUGAAACUACACUAAACUCUUGGGGUUUCAACUCCCAACCUUCUUUUCUUCCUCUCUUUUAUUUAUCACACAUGCUCAAGAUGGAUGCGGUCUUUUCAAUUAUCACAUUAUCUUUUUAUCAUCUUUUACACUACUUUCUCAUUUCUUAUUCUUUUCUUUUAUUCUUCCUCUCUUCAUACUCAUUUUGUAUCACGCACCCCUAUAAUAGCCACCCUCAACUUAGGCGGUUUGCCUAAGUCAAGGUGCAUAGUGUCCAAGGAGGACCAGGGCCAAAACAGGUUCAUUAUGAUGUAAACGGGAAGGUGAGAGGUAUCGUAGAAAGAAAUAGGCUAAUUAGGCUCAAAACAGGAAUCAAGAGAUAUUAUGCACAUAGGGAAGAUCAUUUUGGCUAAAGUGGGAUAAAAUAAAAAAAAGGGCAUAUGAUCCUUUCCUAACUCCUAUCCUAUGACCAUGACAAGACUAACAGGGCAAGUUCUAGAUUCAACACACAACGGGAACUGAGUAAGACCUUACACACACAAGGCACUCAAGUAUCUCGCAUAUCACUACUUAUCCAGUUCAUGUACUUGUUUAACAAAGGUUAUUCAGUUGCCAGACUAAUGCCACAAAAAGAUACAUCGUGGUCACAAAUGGAUGCAAUUCACAUAGUAAUAUAUCAGACCAAUGGAGAGGUGCUCAAAAAUCACAAAAACGAGUUAACUGCCUUAGUUACUUAUAUUUCUCCUAGUUAACUACAACACAUCACAAAACAAGCGUAAUACGCCUAAACAUGCCGGAUCUAUUAGGAACAAUACUCUAGGGAAAAGAGGCACGGCAACAAAAACUCCAGGAGGACAUCAACACCUACAAGUAGCCCCAACACCCUCAACUUAAAACCAUGCAAUGUCCUCAAUGCGUCAAACUAAAACAAGAGAGUUAGAAACAUACCUGUGGAACCAUGGGUGCGAUGUCAAUCACAUAAUACGAAUACAAACAACAAAAUACCUUGGGUUGCCUCCCAAGAAGCGCCUAAUUUAGUGUCGCGGCAUGACAACAUCCAGUCAUCUUUUAUUCCUCUACUUUGAAGAUUUAAAUUGUCGGCCCAUCUUUUUAUCUUUACAUCUUUUAGGUCCAUUGGGCAAAUGUGAGGGCAUGAUAAGGAAUGUUCUAUCACGCCACUUCGAAGACUUGAACCGCUUGCUCAAUUUUGCAUCGAACUUUCGUGUGGGCUCAUUAGGCAACGAUAAGGAUCUUAAAAAGCUACUAAAUGGAUAUCGAUUUUUAAGCUUCUUGGCCUUCAAGACUGGGGUUGUAGUAUACCCUUUUAGAAAGAUAAACUCCAAAAUAUAAGAAUUUUCCUCCUCAUUUUCAAAAUUCAUCAUUUGCUCGGGUGGUUCGACUUUCAUCACAUCCACCAAGCAUAAUGUUGAAAAGUGGUUUGAAUGAGGACUGACUCUCAAUUCUGGAGUAGCGUCUCUAUUAGUAUCUUUACCCCAAAAUGGACUAGAGUCUUCACAAAGAUUGUUCUUGAUUUCUUCUUUUAAUUUUAGUACCAUUUCCUCAUCUUUGGCAUCUUCGUUCAUAAAUGGUUUGGUUGGUUGGGAAAUCUCCAAUGGAAGAUCAACAUCAAGCACAUCAUCAAUAUAGGAUUCUUGCUCCUCAUCUUCGCACUCUCUCAUUAUGUUAAAUGAUUCUACAGGCAAGAUAUCAUCUAAACAUAAUAUAAAAGAAUAUUUUGAAUAAUUGACCUCUAUAUCCAUCUCCUCAUGAAUAAUCGGCAUCAUGUCUUCACGCAUAUCACAUACGAUAUCAUAUGUUUCUUUCUGGAGAUCCAACAUUCGUUGAAACAUAGCUUCAAUGCCACUCUUACCGGUGCUUCGUUCUUUUUUUCUUGAUCAUAAGACCUAUUAAACUCAUAAGAAGAACUAGAAUUUGGGUUAGCGCAAUAGGGGGAGGGGGCAUUUGGGCAAUCACUCCAAUGUCCAUCUCGACCACCACAUAAAGAACAAUCAUACUCCUGGUAGGAUGGAGAUGGUACACACAUCUCUCCCUGGAGAGCAUAUCUACAAUCUUUCCAAAAGUGAGGUCCAUCACAAUAUGGACAUGGAUCAUCAAGAUAAGAUUUUCAACCACCAAGCUCAUGUUCAUUCCACGAUGUCAUAGUAAUAAGUAAACUAAAAUAAAAAUCUACCUAACACAAGAAAUAAAAGAAAACUAAAAAAAAAUAUUUACAAGUUUGAAUUCAAGCUAGUAGGCUAAAAUUCCAAACCAACUCAAUACGCCAAAUUGUUCCCCGGUAACGGCGCCAUUUUUGAUACGCUCAAAUUACACUCUUGAAUGGGUGUAAGCGAUCAUUGUCAAUAUAAAACUCAACUAGGUUAGGGUCGAAUCCCACAGGGAACAAUAUGAGUGGCGAUUAAACUAGUUUGAAACUAAAGCUACAAGUUAAAUUCAAACAAACGAUAUAAAAAGAUAAAAUGGGGGUUUUAGAGAUUAGCAAAUAAUUUUUGGUCACUUUAAUUUCAGUGUUUGUUAAUCAAGAUUUUAUGAAAUAAUCAGGAUUAUGUUCACUAGGGCUUACGGUACAUGACAGAUGCUAAAAUUUACUCAAGACUCUCACGGUAGUUAGGAUCACAAGCUAUCUUUAUCGAUGAUAUGCUUAAAUGUCUCUAGACCUAUUCAAGAGUCUAAUUUCCUAAUUCUCUCGGACUUAGGGAAUCGCUAUGCAUUGUCCAGAUUUUACCUUAGGUAAAUCAACCUUGUUAUAGCGUUGAUUAUUAAAUGAAGUUUUUUCGAGUCCCUGUUGAUAAUUCACUUCUUACUAUUUAUGAUUUUUUUCUCAAGAAAACCAAAGUAGGUACGCCUACUGUUUGCAACAAACAGACGUAAAUUAUAAUCUCAGAAUUACCAAGAAAUCCUAACACCUAUUAAAUCUUAAGUAUUUAACACCUUAUCAUGACCUAACCCUAGAUCCCAUGAUCCAGGUUACAGGUGUUUAGCCACUCAUGAUACAAGAAACAAGUAUGCAAAUUGAAUUCAUAACUGAAAGGAUUAACUUACAAUGAUGAAGAAAAUCAAAAGUCUACUUUGAAUUGAAUCACAGUGCAAAACUCCAAAAUAUUAGUUUUUGAGAGAGAGAGAGAGAAAUAUCGUAUAUUGUAUCUUGUAGGAUAUGUCCAAUCCUUAAUGAUCGAAUGAAUAAAAAAAACUAAAACAAGGCUUUAAAUAGUUAACCCUAAAUAAGAAAAUAAAAUUAAAGUUCAGAUUUUCUUCAGAAUAGAUGACGGCGCUCGUGAUGGCCUAUCAAGAGUUAGACGACCUAUCACGGACGUCGUCAGUUUCUCUGCAAGUUUAGCUUCUGCUGCCUAAAGUUGACGACGACGGUGAUGCCUUAUCAUCACCUUGACGGUGUGUAAUGAAUGUCGUCACAAAACUUUCUGCAACUUUCAUCUUCUGUUUAAGGUUGACGGCAUCCUUGACAGCCUAUCACCAGGCUGACGACGUGUCAUGGAUGUCGUCAGCCACACUUUGUUCUUUAUUUUCUUUUGAUUUCAUGUUUUUUGCUUCCUUUAUUUGUGGUUCCCCUUCUACUCUACUUAUACUGCAAAAUCAAAGUAAACUAAUCAAAAAACGACUAAAGUUACUCAAGACUUUGCAAUUAUUUAGAAAGCUGUAAAUGUGUUAGCAUGGGCUCACACAUCAACCUACACUGGGGUCCACUAACAAGGCUGUUCGGGGGAGUAUAUGGUCGAUAGUGGCUGUGAGAGCUUUCCACCCACUCCAUACACCUGACAGCUCCCCUUCCUAAAAUAAGGGUGACUCAAUUAGAGGUCAUGUACACACGUGCACUACGAAUUUGUUGCGAAAAAAAUGACUCGGGUUAUGCACAUAAUGCCAGAUAUAAAGUGGUAACACAUAAUAAAAACUAUAAACAUGCAACACAUAGGUAAUCAACAAUGAUAAAAUAAAUACAAACGAUAACACAAACAAUGUUUAUACACACAUAAUUUCAAACUAUGCCGAUACAACUCCAAAAGUAAGCUCGGAUUCUGAAAAUUUCUCCAGCAGAGUCGUCAAUGCUGUCACCCCCUUUUUUAACCAAAAAGAUGGAUUUUAAUGUUUGAAAAGGUUUUAUUAUCUAAGUGACAAAAGAUUUAAAAUUUAUUUCAAAAAAAAGAUUAUUUACAUUUUUUAUUCAGAGUCGCCACUUGACAUAAGCCGGUGUGCCAAGUCACCUUUGAAAAAUUCUUUUCAAAACUUUGACUCUUUAAAACUGGUUUGCUAACAGAGAUUCCAAGUAAUGAAUUCUGUUGAUCGAGGCGAAGGUGUUAGGCACCCCUCGAUCCCGUGGUUCGGCCACGGUCUCUUGGUGAAUUAUAUCGGCUCGUAAGACACUAUGAAUAUAUAAACCCAUAAAAACACAUAAAAGAAUCAAACAAACACAUCAAACACAAUCCAAAACCACAAUAAUAACGUUCAGUCCAAUUAUACAGUCCAAAAUAGUCCUAUUCUAAACUAGUCCUAAACUAAGCUCCACCCGACGCCUCGGGCCUUCGUCACGAACAUCUUUCAGGUACAAAAUACUUCGGGGCAUUCUCCGACCAGAUGAUACAUUUGAUCAAGCACGAUAAACUAGAAAACAUUCAACACACAUUCCACAUUCAAACAUUCAACAAAACACUUAUUCCUAAAUUUUUCCUACCCGAACCUAUACUUGUCUAUUCAUUUCAACAUGUCAUAAUUCUAUCACGUUCCAACGACAAUCAUGCUUAUUCCGAAUUAAACAAAACAACAAUAAAUCAAAAUUGAUCUAUGUUCACCCUUUUUAUCAAUUUCACAAUUCUACCCCAUCUAACUUCAUUUUUUAUCAAUCACACUAUCAAAACUACUCAAAUUCGUUUCACAUAUCACCAAAAUCACAUCAUCAAGCACAUAAUCAUAACAUUAACAAAAUCCAACAAUCAUAAUCACCCCACACAUAAUCACAACAUCGAUGCCAAAUUAAAAGAAAUAAGGAGUAAGAGUUAUAGAGAUGGACCUUCCGAAUGCUCUCAAUUGAUUAAGAAGAGAAUAAAAGCGGUCCUGAAACCUAGAAGAAUACCACAAUCUCAAUCCCGAACCAGUAAUUGGACUGGUUUAAAACUGUGAUGAAAUUGAAUUUUGAUUCAAACCAAGGAAACCUUGAAGAGUCAAUGAAUACCCGAAACCAAAACUCAAAAAAAAAAUGAGAAUCCGUAUGACAAUUUCGACGAGACUUUAAUGGAGUCGGAGUAAACUGUCGACUUUUCUGACUUGUCGACUGGACUGAUGUUUUCAGGCUGGAUUUCACCAGAGAAACCAAAAAAAAUGAGAAAAGUGUCUGGGGAUUUCAAUAUUGGGACAAAUUUAAGCUCGGGAUACUUGAACUUGACUAGAAAAUACCGUUUCCGGCGACCCCUGGUGUUUUUUGGUCAGAUUCCGGUGCUAAUUUUGGUGGGAUUGCGCCGAUUUCGUUGUUUAUUUGCCAAAUCUCUCAAAAUCCUUUCAUUCUUUCGAUUCUCUCCCUCUCUCUGCUUUGCUCUCUCUCUUCGUUACUCUCUCUUUCUCUCCGUUACUCUCUUUGUGUGUGUGAGUAUAUGUGUAUGUCUUUAUUCACUGGUUGUGUUGUGUGUGUGUAAUGUAUUGUAGUAUGUGUUAGUGGGUGUGUAUUGAAUAAAUGGAGGAGUGUGUAGGUGUCCAUUAAUGGUGGAGAGAUAGUUUGUGAGUAUAUUCUUGAAAGUGUUUUCUUUUUUGAGAAAGAAGAUGAUGAGUGUUUUCAAUGAAAAUUUCCUCUUCUUUUUGGCCCUCUGUGUCUAUGUGUAUAUCCUCUCCUUUCUUUGUGAAAAGAAACGUGGGGGUGGGGGGGGGGGGUUAAAGGAUAAGAGUGGGGGUGAGAUGGGGGUAGGAGUGGUGAGGUGGAUGAGAUAAGGUUUGUUAGGAUAAGGAAAUAUCAAGGAUUUGAUUUGUUACGAAUUUAUUAAUAUUUUAUUAUUUUUUUCUAUUUUUAUGGGGUAUAAUCGCAUGGAUGAAGGUGUACGAUAACGUGAGGUGAAAAUGGAUGAAUUGGGUUUUGGCAGGGACAAAAUUAGGUGUCUGCUAUACCAGCUAGGUUGCUGCCCGGAGGACCAAACCUGACUGCUCGGACAAGCUUGGUAUACUGUAUUCCCUUAUCAGCAGGCGGUAUAGUAGCAUUGCAAUUAUUCCACCAGUACGGGUCUUCUACUCUAAUCCUCGAUAGAUAGAAAAAUUACACAACCCGUAGAAGUAUCAUGCGCCAAACAUCUACUACCUAGAAAGUAAUUAAGACAAGCAUUUACAGCAUGUCUUUAAAUUAAAGAGUUUCAGUACCCUAGACCUAGAUUAUUAAAUGUGCCAUACACUUCUGACUCAUGGAAUCUUUGACUUUCCGAUGAAUCAAAGGAGGUCUACCAUGUCCAUUUCAGACUGAGCCCUGUAUUGUAAUGUUUGCAUGAAAUCUAGAAGACUUCAAGCAAAAAUAAGUUCGCAUAUGCCUAAGGGCUCAGCAUCUAAACUUCAAUCAAAAACUUACUAGGCUAAAGAACUUCAAGAAUUACAUGCACAAAGUUAAAAUAAACUCACGAGCAAUAAAUCAUAUGCAACAUAACUAACUAGUUGGAUAAUGAAGGUUUUUUGACUCGCAUGCUCUUCCUUUCUUUCUUUCUCAACCAUUUUCCUUUCAUUUUUGACACAUUAAACAAUCCACUCACGUGCAGGAGAGAUGCAACUCGCAUUCUACUUUUAGUUUUUGCUCUCAAGAGCCUUCUCCCAACUUUGGUCUCACGGAUGACUCCUCACAAGUACCCCCAACACAAUUAUUUGACCAUUUAUCAAGUAAAACAAGGCUCUCUUUGUAAUAAUUAACAUAAUGCGAAUUGUGACACCAACCAUUUAUAAAGUUACCUAUGUCAUUCUCUUUAAAAUCGUCAACUACAUGCUCAACUGAAACCAAUAGUCCACAGUUCUCUUUUCAUAAGAUUUUACCAUCUCUCCUUAUAGCCAUUAGAAAUCCCAAGCUCAUUUCGACCAAACCUUCCAUUAAUAUAAGGUGUCCAGAAGAUUUCAGUACGAAGAGGAAAAGUUCGUGCAAAGUGAUAAGAUUGGAUGAUGAACUGCUUCACCCAUGAGUUUGGUGCACCAUACUCUCUCAUUAUCCAAAUAUCAAUGGGUUUACUUUUGUCAUAAUUAUUAUCAACCAAACAAAGAGAUCCCUCUAACACAAAAAGGAACAUUUCGUCAUAACGUGGUCGUGACUCAUUGAUUAAACUACUCGGCAAUAUCAAUUCUGAGAAUUUCUCGUCAUGCAUGUCGAAAAAAACAAUCACACCCCGAAGUCCAAGUGAUCCUUCUACCCAACAAGAAACAAUCCAAUGAGAAGAUCCAUUUACAUAUGCAUGUGGUGUACUUGCAAAGAAUUUAUAAGGUAGAGAGACAUGACUAAUAUCUUCCCAAACACCAGUACUUAACUUAUAAACAUCAACAUGAGGUGGAAACGAAUGAAGAGUGUGCAGUACUCUUACCACCUUAUAGUCAUUAGUAACAGGAUCAUACCCAAACCCUAGCAUAUAACCAAAGAUUUCACCGAGUAUGUCAAUUGUAAAAAUUGGUUCUGGGAGUUUAAAAGAUUUUCUGAUGGAUGGGUUCAAAAAAUAGAAAUGGUUCCAGUCAUGCGACAGUUCGGCAGCAGCAAGGCACAAAAUCCCAUUACAACUACCCACAAUAUUAAAACAAUCGCUACCUUCACUGCACUUAAAUGGUGAAUCAAACUGGGCAAACUCAUUCAAAUAUUCAUCGUAACACAACAUUUGAUAUAAUUCAUUUUGGGGAUUUAUAGAGUAAGAUCAAACCAAGAUGUGAUCGUCUCUGUUUCGGUUGAGAUGCGUGGAGAUAAAAUUAGCGCUAGUAACAAGAGAGUACCAAGUCUUACAAACACUUGUGCAUUGAAGAAUUGACUUUUUGGCAAAUAAUCCGAUAUUUUUCUCCGAUGGCGGAUCUGGAUAUCCCUGUUCUUCUGGAAUUUAUUCUUUUCCUUUCUCCUUGAACCCUAAAAUUUGCUUCUAAUGGGGUGCUUCGUUUCCUUUUAUUCAUAUGUUUUUGGUAAAAGACAUCCUUCAAUUAUACUUUAAACAUAAACUAUAUCCUUCUACUAUUAUAAUGACCAGAAAACAUCCCUCAAUUAUUCUAAAAAUGAUAAGAUUCAUCCUUCCGUUAGAUUUUAUAAGGAAACUAACGGCUGAACCUCUGAUUACCAAAGCAGACCUCAUAUCAAACACCGUUAAGUUUUCAAAAUCCGCUAAACGUAGAUAAAAAAUGAUAAUCUUGAUCCAAAUUCAACAAGCCCAUUUUAUAAACCUAAAGACCUAAGCAAAAUCCUUGUUAGUGUACAGCUUACAUGGGAUGGGUUGGUAAAACUUAAUAGAUAGUACUAAAUUAAUGAUGAAUUUUAAAGAACUCAAGCAAAUCCAAAAAGGAAAACAAUUCCAUGAUUUUAAAACUACUUCCACAGCUACAACAACCAAGAUUUAGAUGAGAGUACACAAAUCAGGGAAUAUUAUAUUGGAAUAGUGAAGUAGCAGUUACAUAACUUUUCAUAGGCAUUCAACAACAACAACAAAUCCAGUAUACUCACAAUGGCGUCUGAAAGGGUAGAGUAUACGACAGUCCUUACCACAACCUCGAAUGUGAGGUAGAGAGGUUGUUUUCCAUAGACCCCCGGCUCAAGACAAAAUGCAGACCAGAUUUAGAUGUAAUAAGGGUACAAAAAACAACAGCAGUAACAAAACAAUAGAUAAUAAGAGUUAAUAACUCAAAUGGUUACUCAACUAUAAACUUUUAUUCCAAAAAGUAACUCAAUUUUAUUAUUUACCUCAAAAGUCACUCAACUAUGGACUUUUAUACUAGAAAGUCACUUAUCUUUGAUCUUUAUUUAAAAGACACUCAACUAUCACCUUUCCGUUCAACUUAUUUAAUUAUUUUUUUUAGUAAAAUUUGCUUAUGUGGAGCUUCUAUUUAAAAACAAAAUUUUGAAAAAAUAAAAAGUAUCCAUUUUAUAAAGUUUUUAUCCAUAUUCUCUUAAAUUAAUAUUUGUUCCUCCUUUUUCUCAUUUUUAUUCCCAUAACUCGAAUAUUUGCAAUAUAAUGUAGGAAAUUAACACUUAUAAUUGUACGAAAUGGAAUUACCAUCAUAUUUUAUCUUUGCAUUUUAUUUUUUAUUUUGUCUUUGAAAAGGAAAAAAAAGGAAAAACAAUAAAGAGGAACAGAAGAAUUCAAGAUGAACAAACAAGAAUAAACAAGAAUGAUACUACAAGUGAUUUACCCGAAAUAACAUGAAUAAACAAGAAUUCAAGAACUAAAAGCUACAAACGCAGUACAAACACUACCAAUAAAGAUAACACUACAAACACUACCAAUAAAGAUAACACUCCUACCUACUAUCAUGAAUGCACUCUGAUCGCUUAACUUUCAUAGGAUAUUCAACAAAUAAAUUUAAAUAUUUUAAGCUGCUAGCUUACUAUGACAUCAUAUCCAUAGGACAUGGCUCCUCUAGUUCUAUCAUAGGCUUAUUUUACUGAGUGAAGUACAAUUACUCUCUCCCAACCAAUAGUUUUAUUUAUGAGUUUUAUCUCAAGCAAAUAUUUUGAAUAUGCACUUACCCAAAUUAAGUAGCACUAAAUAAGAAGAUGCACUUACCCAAAUUAAGUAGCACUAAAUAAGAAGGGAUAUCAUCAAACAUCUUAGGUGCAUAAUCUACUUCAAAAUUCCAACAGAUAAACUGUGAAAGAGAUCAAAUGGAUGGAAGAAAACAUAUUAUAAAGAAAACUUGUCAAGCAAACCAAGAGACUAAACUUCCAACAGCAAUUUUAUACCUCAAACUUUUGGUUGAUUUGAAUUUGGUAGCGUAGACCUCUAAUGAGAGGAUUAGAGGUCACAUGGUAAAAAUGAUUUUGCAAAAUCAUAGUUAAAAGUAAAAUAUACGAAUGAACUUGUCUUGUAACGGCAUAAAUGAGCUAAACUUUAACCGAUGAUAUAGAUGAGUCAUUUCUAAUAGUUUAAAACUAGCAUAUUUGAACCCUUUUUCCUGUCUUUUUUUUUUUAAUUAUUAUUAUAUUAUUAUUAUUAUAAUAGAUUAGAAGUGUUGGUUUCAAAUGCCUGCCUGGCAUUUGAAGGGCAAAUUCGGCAUUUCAGUUAGAUUGAAGUAAUUUGAUUGGAGAAAAUGAAUAGCUUUGAAGUUGCUUUUGUAAAUUUAAAGUUUUCUUUGACUAUUUUGUACAUAGCUAAAUAAUAUACAUUAAGUUUGUGCCAUUUUGACAAGUGGAUCCAGAGUAGCUAUUGAAAUUGUGGGUUCAUUUUAAAAUAGUUAGUCCUACUUAACCUAAAACUCUUCUAAAAAAAAUCAUCAUGGGUUUAUUUUUACAAAAUCAACCUCAUUAAUUAUGAGUUGAAAAUAAAAUUAUAAAUCACAAUAAUUAAAAAUUUUAAAAAAAUAAAAUACAAUUAACUAUCAAUAUCAUAAAAAUCUGAAUAGAAAGAGUAACAUGAAUUAAUUGAAAAUUACAUAAAAAUUAUUAUAAAUUAUAAUAGUUAACAGAUUAAAAUAUCUAAAAUAAUCUAUUAUAUAUUUCAAAAAAAUAUUAAAAAAUACUAUAAAUCACAAUAAUUAACAACUUUAAAAAUUUAAAAUAUAAAAAAUAUUUGGCUGACUCUCAAAAUUAUAUUUGUGUCACUUAAAUUAAAAUGGGAGAAAAGUACUAUAAAUCUCAAUAAUUAAAAAUUAGACAUUUAUGACAUGUCUGCUUAAGUUGCUUUAAUGUAAUUUAACUAAAUAUUAUCCUUAAUGAAUUAUUAUAAGUCAUUUAAAUAUUAAAAAAUUUAUAAUAUUUAAUAAAAAUGUAAAAUAGAUAUAAAAUGAUAAAUUAACUUUUGAUAUUUUAAUUAAUUUGGCAUCCUAUAUGAGGCUCACUUAAAUUUUUUUCAUGGGUAUUUUUUAUAGUAGUUUUUUUAUAUAUCACUUUUAAUUAGUUGUAGUAAGUAAUUUAAGAUAUGUCUACUUCGUUGCUUCAAUUGUGAUUUUACUAUAUCACCCUAAUUAAUUUUUAUGACCAUAUAAGCAUUGUUCCACUUAAAUCUAAAUAGAAAAAAAUAAUUAUAAAUCUCAAUAAUUAAAAAAUUAAAUUAUUUAAAAAGAUAUAUAAUUGACUAUCAAUGUUACAAAAGUUUGGACAAGGAGACUAACAUAAAUUAUUUGAAAAUUACAUAAAAAGUAUUAUAAAUUACAAUAGUUAAAAACUUAAAAUGUUUUUAAAAAAAAUAAAUGUAUUUCAAAAGAAAAUAUAAAAAAUAUUAUAAAUCGCAAUAAUUAACAAUUUAAAAAAUUUAAUAUUCAUCAUACCUGCUUUGACAUAACUUCAUUGAUCCUUUCCCCUACCUUCAUUUUUUUGCCUCUAUUUUAAUUUGUUUGUAUUAUCUUUUCAUCUAUUAUAUAUUUUAAAAAAAACAUAAUUUUUUUUAAUAAAUCACAAUAAUUAACAACUUAAAAGAUAUAAACUAUUUGGCUAACUUUCAAAAUUAUAUCAGUGUCACUUAAAUUGAAAUAGAAGAAAAAUAUUAUAAAUCAUAAUAAAAAAAAUUAAAUUUUUUUUAGAAUAUAAUUGAUUAUCAAUGCCACAAAAGUUUGGACAAGGAGGGUAAUGUAUAUUAUUUGAAAAUUACAUAAAAAGUAUUAUAAAUUAAUAGUUAACAACUUAAAAUAUCUAAAAAAAAUUAAUUUGUUAUAUAUUCCAAAAAAAAUGCAUAAAAAAUUAUAAAUCACAAUAAUGAACAACUUAAAAAUUUUAAAAAUAUAAAAUAUUUGGUUAAAUCUCAAAAUUAUAUUAAUACCACUUAGCUUGGAAUAGAAAAGAAGUAUUACAAAUCACAAUAAUUAAAAACAUAUAUCAUUUUUAAAAUAUAAUUAACUAUCAAUACUGCAAAAAUUAGACAACGAGAGUAACAUAUAUUAUUUGAAAAUUACAUAAAAAAAUAUUAAAAAUUAUAAUAAUUAGCAGCUUAAAAUGUCUCUCAAAUCAUCUUACAUUAUUACAAUUUAGCAUCUGAUUGAUAUCAAAUUUUGAAUAUUUACUUUUUAACUUUAAAAUACUCUAAAUUCAGCAGACUGCUUUCUCCGUGAUUUUACUAUAUCACCCCUAAUUAAUUAUUGUAAGUUAUUUAUAUAUUAAAAACUAAUAAUAUUUAAUAUAAAAAAUAAAAUAUACAUUUAUGGCAUAUUUGUUUCAGCCAUUUCAAUCGUAAUUUUACUAAAUAUCAUUCUAAUUAAUUAUUAUAAGUCAUUUAAGUAUUAAAAAGUUAAUAAUAUUUAAUGAAAGGUAAAAUAGACAUAAAAUGAAAAAUUAACUUUUGAUAUUUCAAUUUAACUUGACGCCUUAUAUGAGACUCACUUAAAUUUUUUUAAGGUUUCGACAUGUCUACUUAUGUUGCUUCAACCAUGAUUUUACUAUAUCGCCCCUGAUUAAUUAUUAUAAGUUAUUUAUAUAUUAAAAAAUUAAUAAUAUUUAAUUAAAAAAUAUAAAAUAGGUAUUUAUGACAUGUUUGCUUCACCUACUUUAAUUACUAAAUAUAACCCUUAAUUAAUUAUAAUAAGUCAUUUAAGUAUUAAAAAUUAAUAAGAUUUAAUAGAAAAGAUAAGAUAGAUAUAAAAUGAUAAAUUAACUCUUGAUAUUUUAAAUGAACUUGACGUCUUAUAUGAUACCCACUUAAUUAUUUUUUUACAAGAAUUUUUUAUAGUAAUUUUGCUAAAUCAAUCCUAAUUAGUUGUCACUUAAGAUAUGUCUACUUCGCUGCUUCAAUCGUGAUUUUAUUAUAUCACCCUAAUCAAUUAUUAUGACCAUCUAAGCAUUGUGUCGCUUAAAAUCUUAAAUUAUUUAAAAAUAUAAUUGGCUAUUAAUGUCGUAAAAGUUUGGACAAGGAGAGUAAUAUACAUUAUUUGAAAAUUACAUGAGAAGUAUUAUAAAUCGUAAUAGUUAACACUUUAAAAUAUCUAAAAAAAAAUUAAUAUGUUACUUAUUUCAAAAAAAUAUAUAUGUAAAAAAUACUAUAAAUCACACUAAUUAACUAGUAAAAACGUUUAAAGGACAAAAUGGCUGCUUUGGCACAUCUUCAUUAAUCCUUUACCUUGCCUUCAUUUUUCCUCUAUUUUAAUUUAUUUGCAUUCUUUUAACCAGUUAUAUGUUUAGAAAAAACAUAAAAAUUUCUAUAAAUCACAAUAAUGAACAACUUAAAAUAUUUAAAGUAUAUAAAAUAUUUAGUUGACUCUCGAAAUUCUAUUAGUGUCACUUAAAUUGGAAUAGAAGAAAAAGUAUUAUAAAUCACAACAAUUAAAAACUUAAAUUAUUUUUAAAAUAUAAUUGACUACCAGUGCAAUAGAAGUUUUGACGAAGAGAGUAACAUAUAUUAUUUGAAAAUUACAUAAAAAGUAUUAUAAAUUAUAAUAGUUAACAGUUUAAAAUAUCUAAAAAAAAUAAUUUGUUAUAUAUUUCAAAAAAAUACGUAAAAAAUACUAUAAAUUACAGUAAUAAACAGCUUAAAAAUUUAAAAGAUAUAAAAUAUUUGGUUAACUCUCGAAAUUAUAUUAGUAUCACUGAAAUUGGAAUAGAAGAAAUGUAUUAUAAAUCACAAUAAUUAAAAACUUAAAUUAUUUUUAAAAUAUAAUUGACUAUCAAUGCCACAAAAGUUUGGACAAGGAGAAUAAUGAAUAUUAUUUGAAAAUUAUAUGAAAAAGAUUAUAAAUUACAAUAGUUAACAACUUAAAAUGUCUCCCAGCUUAUUAUGCAUUCUUAUAAUUUAGCAUCUAAUUAGUAUCAAAUUUUGAAUAUUUAUUUUUAAUUUUAAAAUACUCAAAACAUAAUCGAUGUUGGGCCCGUGUUAGCUAGUUAUUAUUAGGGUAAAAUUCAUAAAUAGCAUACUUAAAAUCAUAAUUAUGAGAUUCAUAGCAACACUUUCAUAAUUACUUAAACUAGCAACUUGUAUUUUGUAUUUGAACAAACCGUUGCUAUAAAAAGAUAUAUACAAAUCAUUUUACUGCCCAUAUUUAACUCAAAUUAGUUGAGUUAAAUAUGGUAUAAUUAGUCAUGAAUUAAAUGUGGAGAUUCCUUUUCCAUUAAAACCUCUUAAUUAACAUGAUUUUCGUUAUUUGUUACCAAUUGAAAUUAAAAUUCAAAUUUCAGUUUCACAUUAUCAUUUUCAUCCCCCAAAAAAAUCAAAAUCAAAUUCAACUGAAACUUCUUCUGUUCAAUGUCUUCAAAAAUUCAAAUUAAACCAUUGCUUUUGUUGAAGAUAUUUAAUUGUACUAUUGUUUUCUUAUAUGAAUUUCAUCAGUUGUUUGAAAUCGAUCAAAAAAAUUUCGUUCUGAAUUUUUUUCUAACCAUUACUGUUAUUUCGUUCAAAUUUUUUUGAGCCAUUAUUGAUGUUUAGUUCAAAUAUAAUGAUCAAAAUUGAUUUUCAUUAAAUUAUUUUUGAAUAUUUUGAGCCAUUAACGAUUUUUCGUUAGAGUGAUCAAAAUCAACUUUCCGUUAUGUUGUACAAUUUAACAAUUUAUUUCGUUAAAUUAUUUUUGAUCAAAAUCAAAUUCAACUGAAACUUCUUCUGUUCAAUGUCUUCAAAAAUUCAAAUUAAACCAUUGCUUUUGUUGAAGAUAUUUAAUUGUACUAUUGUUUUCUUAUAUGAAUUUCAUCAGUUGUUUGAAAUCGAUCAAAAAAAUUUCGUUCUGAAUUUUUUUCUAACCAUUACUGUUAUUUCGUUCAAAUUUUUUUGAGCCAUUAUUGAUGUUUAGUUCAAAUAUAAUGAUCAAAAUUGAUUUUCAUUAAAUUAUUUUUGAAUAUUUUGAGCCAUUAACGAUUUUUCGUUAGAGUGAUCAAAAUCAACUUUCCGUUAUGUUGUACAAUUUAACAAUUUAUUUCGUUAAAUUAUUUUUGAAUAUUUUGUAAACGAAUUUAAAAAAAAAAAGAUAAUGCAACAGUAAAUUGAACUGAUCGAACAAUAUAGUGAUCAAAAUAGAUUUUUCAAGCUACUCAAACUCAAUUUUUUUCUUUUUCACUUCUCUUUUUCUCUUUUUUAUUUUUUUUAUUUUUUUACUCUUUUAUCUCUAACUUUUAUUUUGAAAAUACAAAUAUGUAUAUCACAUAUACAUAUUCAAAAAAUAUACAAAAUAUAUAGCCAUACAGAUCUGGAUAUAUAUUUAUAGUACAAAACAUUCAUAUGUAUCUGCAUAUGUAUUUAUAAAAAUACAAAUCUCACUCAUAUGUAUAUAUAAACAUAUAAGACACAAAAUCUCUAUAACAAAAAAGGACAACUAUAUACAUAUACAUAGAGGUAAUUAAAAAAUACAUGAUACAUAUCCUAUAUGUUUAUAUAUAUAUAUAUAUAUGUGUGUGUGUGUGUGUGUGUUUUUUAUUAUAGAGAUUUUGUGUUCUAUAUGUUUAUAUAUAUGUACAUGUGAGCCAGAUAUGUACUUCUGUAAAUACAUAUGUAGAUAUAUAUGUAUAUUUUUUACCGUAAAUACAUAUGCAGAUCUGUAUGUCUAUGUAUUUUGUAUAUUUUUGACUAUGUAUAUGAGAUAUAGAUAUUUUUCUUUUAAAAAAAAAAGAGUAAAAAAAAAUUUUAAAAAAAAAGAAAAAGAAAAAGACAAAAACAAAAAAUAAAAAUCUAAAAAAAAAAAGAAGUGAAAAGGAAAAAAAAAAGAAAUAAAAACUAGAGAUAGAAGUGUAAAAGCAAAAAAGAAAAAAAGAAAAAAAUAUGAGAAAGGAAAAAAUAAGAAAACGAAAAAAUAAAGAAAAAAAUGAAAAAGGAAAAAAAAGUAGAAGAGAGAAAAUAAAGUAGAAAGAAAAAAAUGAAAAAGAAAAAGAAAUUAAAAUAAAACGAUAAAAAAAUGAAAAACUAGCAAGAAAAAAAAAGUUAGAGAUAUAAGAGAGUGAUAUUUUAAAAUUUUGAAUAUCAUGAAGAUAAUAAUCUUUAUAAUUGAGUUUGCUUUGGAAAAGGAAUAUACUAAUUUAAAUAAGAGUAAUUUAUGGGAAAGGAAAAAAAUUGAAAGAAGAAUCUAAGAGAUUUCAAACAAUAAAAGGUAAAGUAAAAAUCAGUUAAAGGAAAGAGAAAGAGAAGUGACAUAAAAAAGGAAACCUUAUACAUGGUAACUUCUCAAAGGCAGUAAGUGUGGGACCACACUUAAAAUAAUGGUAUGUUUGUUACACAAUGUAAUUUCAUUAAAGUGCUACUAUUUUUCAUAAUUCAAGUCUUAAGUAUGCUACUUCUUAUAGUUUUUCCUUAUUUUUUAUUAUUAUAGAAAGAAUGGUUUCAACAUGGCUACUUAAUUUUAACACAGGGUUCUAGUAUCUAUGUGUAAUAUAUUAAAAGUGUGAAACCCCUUAGAAAAAUGAUUUGAACUUUUUAUCCUUCAUUAAAAGACUCUCAUUUAAACAAAACUGUCUUUUCACUAUUUUAUUCAAUUUAUUAUUUAAUUAUUUUUUAUUAUAAUAAACUCCUAAAAUAUAUGGGACUCUAAAUUAUAUGGAAGGAGAAUCAAUUAAUAUUUUUCUUUAUACUGGUCAACUAGAAAAAUACUCCUAAAACAGAACUCUAUAAAGAAAAUAUUUCUAUAAAUAUUGAGAUCUAGAGAAUAAUUAUUUAUACUAAUUUAUGCACACAAUAUGAUUAGGUCUUUCAAUAACAUAUAUGCAUGCCCUUUUUUUACGUUUUUCUUUAACUGUUUUUUUUAUUCUCUCUUCUUCUUCUUCCUUUGUCUUUUAAGUUAGCUAUUGAUUCACUUGUAUUUCUUAGAUGUUAGGUAGUUGGUUUUUUAUUUUGUAAAGUAUUACCUUUUCCUUUUUUUCAAUCAAUGUAUGGAUAAAUAUAUACAAGCCAUCAGAGUUUGUAUAAUAAAUUCAAUAAAUGUUUUUAUUAUUAGUUUGUAUAAUAAUUUUAUUGUCUUAGUAUCUCUAUUAGUUUAUUAUUUUGUGGUAGUUUACACGUUGUAGACGAAUAUCGAUCGGGUUUGAGGAAUUUUUGUGUGUAAAGUUUAAAUUUAAUUGUAUUAUUUUGAUAUCAUUUUUAUCGUAUUGUUUUGUUGUAGUUUGCAGGUGAUAGAUAAAUGUCGGUCGACUUUGAAGAAUCAGCUUUGAGAAUCAUUUUCGGUAAAGGUUAAGUUUAAUUAAAUAAAUUCUCCAUCUUCACAUAUUCAAAAGAUGUUGAAUUUAAUUAUUGUAUUCAUCUUUAUUAUUUAAACAAAAUUUUUAUUUAGUGUAACGUUUGAACUCAUUAAAGUGAGGUACACGCGCGAGGCGCGUACACCUAAACUAGUAAUUAAAAACACCUAUGGUGCCAACACUGAAGGAAACAGCAAAGCAUUGGCCAAUCAUUCUUUACUAUUAGAUCCAGGAGCGGCUCAACCCUUUCGGAGAAAAGGCGGCCGCCUAUGGCCACCAAAAUUUGAGGGGCCUCAUUUUUUUUAGUAAUAAUAAUUUAUAAAUUUUAAGAAAUAUAUUAAAUACUAUUUAUAGAAAAAAGAAAUAUUUUAUAUAAAAAAUUUAGGAGUUUAAUUUAGUAACAACUUUUUAAUUCAUUGACUAUAUUAUUAAUUAAAAAACAAUUAUUAAAUACGAUUAUAUGAUUUUAAAAAUAGACUUUAUAAAAAUAACUAUUUUUUCUUAAAAACGUAAGACCUCUAUUUGAUUUUUGCCUUAGGUCAUAAAUAUGCUUGAGCCGCCCUGAUUAAAUCAACAAACUUACAAGGCAUAUGAAGAAACUAUUUUAGUCAUGUCAUUAAUUUAUCUUACAAUGAUCAUAAUUGAGGAGCAUGCAAGCUGACCAAAACCCUAUUGUUAUCCCAAAACAUAGCUAUUAGGCAACAAAUCGGUGAUCUUUUGACUUGCAUGUUCUUCCGUUCCUUCUUCUGCGGCCAUUUACCUUUCAUUUUCGACACAUAACGCAACUCACUCAUUUUCAAGAGAGAUGCAAUCCGCAUUCUAUUUUUAGUUUUUGCCUUUAGGAGCUUUUUUCUCCAUCUUCGGGAUCUCUUUUCCAUAAAUCGGAUGACUCCUUGCAAGCAUCAUCAACACAAUUAUUUAUCCAUUCAUCAGGUAAGACAAGGCUUUCUUUGUAAAAAUCAACAUAAAGCGGAUUAUAACGCCAACCAUUUGUAGAGUUACCAAUGCCAAUAUCUAUAAAUUUUUCAACUACAUGAUCAACUGAAACCAAUAAUCUGCGCUUCGCUUUCCAUAAAAUUUCACCAUUUUUCCUUAUACCCAUUGGUUUCACCAAGUAAUGAGCUACCGCAAGCUCAUCUGAAGUAGACCUUCCAUUAUAAGUUGUCCAAAAAUUGUCAUCACGGAGAGGAAUAUUUCACGUAAAGUUACGAGGACUAAUGUUGAACUCUUUCACCCGUGAAUUUGGUGCACCAUACUCUCUCAUCAUCCAAAUAUCAAUAGGUUUACUUGUGUCAUAGUUAUUAUCAACAAAAAAAAGUAAUUUGUGUGACACAAAAAGGAACAUUGCAUCACGGUGUAAUCGUACCUAAUUAGUAAAACUUCUUGGCAACGUUAUCUCUUAAGAAUGUCUCAUCAUGCAUAUCAAACAAAACAAUCAUAUUUAUCCGAGUUUGUUCUUCUAAAUCUUCCCACUUGAAAUCAAUCCAAUAUGAAGCUCCAUUCAGAGAUAUACCGGGGGAAUUAACUCUACAUUUAUUAAUUUAAUUAGUGUAAUGCAAAGAUGAAUAACUUCUACGUUACAAAGGAGAUGUGAAUACAUCUAAACAUCCAUUCUAAUAGAAUUAAGUAACAUGUGAAGUAAUGGUUCUUUAAUGGCUCUUGCAACUCCACUUUCAAAUACUAUAUAAAGGGUGUCUUUGGAGAAGAUAAAAACACACCACUUAAAGAAAGAAACAAUCUUCCUCCUUUCCUCUUCCUCUUGAAUUAUUUUGGGCAACCUCCAAACUUUCAGCCACAAGUGCACGUGUUUAGAAGUAGCUGUGGAACCUUGGGGAGCGACCGGCUAGAAGGAUUUGCACCAGAGUCGGGCCGAAAUUGCUUUCAAGGUAGUGGCUUGCGACGACACAGUGUUUGUGACAACUCUUCUACUAUUAUUAAUUUAGUUCCUAUAUCAAUAUUGUAGUACUUUUCUCAAUAGUUUGAAAGCGAUUUCGUUACAUACAAUAUUGAUAAAUGGCUAUUUCUUUGGACAAAACUUUUCCUGAUUUGUCAAAGCUAGAGCCAUUGGACGAAAAUAAUUUUAAACAUUGGUCACAAAAACUUAUGAUUUUUUUCGAAUAAUUAGAAGUUGAUUAUGUUUUGUUUAAUGAACCUCCAACUGAUAGUUCUAACAUUACUACUAGAUCUAACACUAUUGUGGUUGAUGGCAAAGCUAAAAAGAAAUUCGAAAAGGAUAACAAAACAGUUAGCGGACAUUUGUUGAACCAUAUGACUAAUCAUUUAUUUGAUUUAUUUGUUACCUAUAAAUUUGCUAAAAGAAAUAUGGGACAAUUUAGAAAAGAAAUGUGGUUUCGAUAAUGCAGGAAAGAAAAAAUAUGUUGUCGGACAAUGGAUUAAAUUUCAAAUGGUUGACAAUAAAUCAAUCAUGGAACAAGUCCACGAAUAUGAAAAUUUAACUGUUGAUGUUCUCAAUGAGGGCAUGAAAAUGUGUGAGAUUCUUCAGGCUAAUGUUCUGCUUGAAAAAAAUUUCCACCAUCCUGGAGUGAUUACAGAAAAUCAAUUGAAACAUAAGAAAAAGAAUUUAAAUCUCCAAGAACUUAUAAGUUACAUGAGAACAGAGGAGGCAAACCGUCUCAAAGUCAAGAUGGAAGCUUUGUCUCUUAAUUCUUCUAAAGCUAACCUUGUGGAAUCUUCUGGUACUAUUACAAAAGAUAGGUACGAAGAAAAACAAAAGAAUGUUCAGAAUAAGGAACAAGUGAAAAAGAAAAAUAAUUUCAACAAGCCAAAGAGUCAAAUUAAAAAAUCAAAAGGGCCUUGUUUUGUCUGCGAAAAACUUGGCCACAAGGCUGUCCAGUGUUAUCUAAGAAAAGGACAAAACUCAAAAUAGGGAGGACAAGGUGAUUCCCAAGCUCAUAUUACAGAGGGUGAUGAAGUGAUUGCUGCAGUAAUCGUCGAGGCAAAUCUGGUAGCUAACAAGACUGAUUGGGUGUUGGACACAGGCGCUUCAAGACAAUUCUGAGCUAACAAAAAAUUAUUCCAUGACUUUGAGGAAUCCACCGAUGGCGAGUGUGUCUACAUGGGUGACUCCACUACUGCUAAAGUUAUGGGUAAAGGAAAAUUUUUACUUAAAUUAACUUCUGAAAAAAUAUUAUGCCUGAACAAUGUUCCGUAUAUUCCCUCGCUCCGUAGAAACUUAGUUUCUGGAGCACUUCCAAAUAAAGUAGGCCUUAAACUUGUUUUUAAAGUUGAUAAAAUAAUUAUUUCUCGUGGAGGAAACUUUAUUGGGAAGGGAUACCUUAGUGGGGGCUUAUUUGUGCUGAACAUUGAUCAAGAGAUUGUCAAUAAUGCAAAUAUUCCUAAUUCUGCUUAUAUUGUUGAGUCUAUUAAUUUAUGGCUUGGUAGGCUAGGUCAUGUUAAUAUUGCUUCUAUUAAAAGACUUAGAAAAGUGGGAUUAAUUCCUACAGUAAAUAUUGAUGAUACUUCUAAAUGUCCUCUGUGUGUAGAAGCAAAGCAUGCCAAGAAACCUUUUAAAUAUGUUCCUAGUAGAAAGACCGGGUUGCUUGAACUAGUACAUUCAGAGUUAGCAGAUUUUAAGAACACUAUUAGUAAAUGUGGAAAGAAGUAUUACAUUACUUUUGUUGAUGAUUUUUCUAGGUAUACUAAGGUAUACCUCCUUAAGUCUAAAGAUGAGGCUGAAAGCAUGUUUUUAAAAUUCAAAACAGAAGUAAAAAAAUCAAUUAGAUAGAAAAAUCAAGAUAUUUAGAUCUGAUAGGGGUGGUGAAUAUAGUGCUAAAACUCUAGAAGAUUUUGUGAGAAAAAUAGUAUUAUUCAUGAGUUUAGUGCUCCCUAUACUCCCCAACAAAAUGGUGUAGCCGAAUGAAAGAAUAGAACACUUAAGAAAAUGAUGAAUUCCAUGCUUUUAAGCUCGAGUCUACUUAACUAUAUGUGGGGGNNNNNNNNNNNNNNNNNNNNNNAGCUGUCUUAUCUGCAUGUUAUAUUCUUAAUAGAGCCCUUCAUAAAAAGUUAGACAAGACCUCAUAUGAGUCAUGGAAAAGAUAUGCCCCUAACUUGAAAUUUUUGAAAGUGUGGGGGUGUUUGGCUAAGAUUGAUCUACCUGAUUUUAAACGAGUAAAUGUAGGUUCUAAGACCUUUGAUACUGUUUUUAUUGGUUAUUCUCAAAAUAGUGUUUCAUAUAGAUUUAUGUCAUUAAAUAAUUAUUCUAUUUGUGAAUCUAGAGAUGCAAAAUUUUUUGAGCAUGUUUUUUCUUUGAAAAAUGAUGUGCCUAGUGAUGUGCAAAAUAAUACUUUUAUACCUGUGUCUGUUAACUCUCAUUUUAUGCUAAUGAGCAUAAAAAUAAACUUAGAAGGAGUAAAAGACGUAGAACUGAGACUAGAUUUGGUCCUGAUUUUAUCACCACCUUCUUAGCUGGGGAUUUUAAUAUCGAUACUUCAAAUGAUGAAUUAGUGUCUAUCUUCUUAAUAGAAUAAGACCCUAAGACAUAUGAUGAAGAAACGAGUUCAAUAGAUGUGAUAUUUUAGAAAGAGGCUAUUAAAAGUGAAUUAGACUCUAUAGUUUGUAAUCACACAUGGGACUUGUAUGAUUUGGCUAAAGGUUGUAAAUCCAUAAGUAGUAAGUGGAUAUUCAAGAAGAAAUUGAGGCCUGAUGGUACAAUUGAUAAAUAUAAGGCUAGAUUUGUGAUUAGGGGCUUUAACCAAAAGAAAGGUGUUGAUUAUUUUGAUACUUAUUCUCUUGAGAUGAAAAUAGGGACCAUUAGAACUCUUAUUGCUCUAGCUGCUAUUCACAAUUUAGUGGUACGCCAAAUGGAUGUCAAAACUGCAUUUUUAAAUGGUGAUUUAGAGGAAGAGAUCUAUAUGACUCAACCUGAGGGUUUUGUGAUCCCAGGACAAGAGGAUAAAGUAUGCAAAUUGAGAAAGUCCUUAUAUGAACUUAAGCAGGCACCUAAGCAGUGGUAUAAAAAAUUUAAUUUCACAUUAAUAGAUAAUGGCUUUGUUGUUAAUUCAUCUGAUACCUGUGUUUAUUCUAAAAUGAUAGGAUCAGUCUGUGUGAUUAUAUGUUUAUAUGUGGAUGACAUGUUAAUCUUUGGCCCUAAAGUAAAUGUUGUAAAUGACACUAAGAAAUUUUUAUUUUCUAAAUUUGAAAUGAAAGACCUUGGAGAAGCUAAUGUGAUUUUAGGAAUAAAAAUCAAAAGAAAUGCUAAUGGUUUCUCUUUGUGUCAGUCUCAUUAUAUUGAAAAAAUAUUGAAAAGGUUUAAUUAUUUUGAUGUAGUUUCAAUGAGAACUCCUUAUGAUCGUAGCAUACACUUGAAAAAAGAAUAAAGAUUUCAGUGUUUCUCAAACUAAAUAUGCUAAAAUAAUUGGGAGUAUAAUAUUUCUCAUGAGCUAUACUCGGCCUGAUAUAGCUUAUGAUGUUAGUAGAUUGAGCAGAUAUACUCAUAAUCCUAGUAAUGAAUAGUGGCAUGCUCUUCAUCGCUUAUUAAGGUACUUGAGAGAUACUAGAGAUUGGUGUUUGUAUUUUAAUAAAUUUCCUGCUAUUUUAGAAGGUUUCUGUGAUACAAACUGGGUGACUAACAAUGAUGAAGUUAGCUCUACCAAUGGCUAUAUGUUUACUUUGGGUGCAGGUGCUAUUUCAUGAAAGUCUUCAAAGCAGACUUGUAUAGCAUGUUCUACCAUAAAAUCUAAAUUCAUUGCUCUCGAGUUGGCAGGGCAAGAAGCUGAGUGGCUGAGAAAUCUUUUGACAGAUGUUCCUUUAUGGGGAAGACAAAUGUCACCAGUCUUUUUACAUUGUGACUCACAAGCGGCAAUUGAGAUUGCUAAAAAUAGUGUAUAAAAUGGUAGAGACAUAUUCGCAUCAGACAUGGUGCAAUUAAACAAUUAUUGAAACAUGGUGUUAUUUCCUUGGAAUAUGUAAGAUCCGAAAUAAAUUUAGCGAAUCCUAUGACCAAGGGUUUGACAAGGAAAAUGGUCCUUGAAUCGUCGAGAGGGUGGAGCUAAAGCCCAUGGAUUGAGGUAAUAUGGUGGAUACCCAUUUGGGGUCAAACGAAGCCAUAUAGGCCUUCAAUAAACACUACAUAUCCUAUCCCUAUGGCGUGGGGUAGUGUAUUAUAAGGUUGAACUUAUUUUGCUCUUAAUGAUCCAUAGUCUUAAGGUGGUCUAUGAGAUGGACUUGAUGGAUCACCUACGUGAGUGUAAAAGGUUGGUCACCUUUUUAUGAAAGACUUGGGUUAUCUUUCUAGAGCACUCAUGAGACCUAAGGUUUGUGUGCAUGACCAUAAACGCACUUUGUAGUAUCGCGGAGGUUGCUUAAAAUCAAGGAUAUGGUAUGUGUUGUGGGGGUCUCAACUUAUGUCCAUCUAGUUCAAGAGUACUUCACUUUUUGGAUAUUUGUUUUUGCCUCAUAUCACUACAUGUCAAUUCAAAUCGAAAGAUAUUGACACUUAAGUACGUGUUCCUUCCUUUUGCCCAGAAUUCAUUCUUAUUCUUUAUCUUUGCAUUAGUGGGGGACUGUGGAAUUAACUCUAUAGUUAUUAAUUUAAUUAGUGUAAUACUCUACAGUUAUUAAUUUAAUUAGUGUAAUGCAAAGAUGAAUAACUUUUACGUUACAAAGGAGAUGUGAAUACAUCUAAACAUCCGUUCUAAUAGAAUUAAGUAACACGUGAAGUAAUGGUUCUUUAAUACUAUUAACUAUAACUCUUACAACUCCACUUUCAAAUACUAUAUAAAGGGUGUCUUUGGAGAAGAUAAAAACAUACCACAUAAAGAAAGAAACAAUCUUUCUCCUUUCCUCUUCCUCUUGAAUUGGUUUGGACAACCUCCAAACUUCCAGCCACGAGUGCACGUGUUUGGAAGUAGCUGUGGAACCUUGAGGAACGACCGGCUAGAAGGAUUUGCACUGGAGUCAGGCCGAAAUCGCUUUCAAGGCAGUGGCUUGCCACGACACAGUGUUUGUGACAACUUUUUUACUAUUAUUAAUUCAGUUCCAAUAUCAAUAUUGUAGUACUUUUCCCAACAAUACCUGAGGUGUAGUGCAAAAGAAUUGAUAUUUGAUAAGAUAGAGCGACAUGACUAAUAUCUUCCCAAACACCUGUACUUAGCUUAUAAAGCUCUACGUGUGGCAUUAGACGAAAAGUUGUGUGUAUAUUCUUACCACCUUGUAGUCAUUAGUAGUCCGGUCAAAUCCAAACCCUUGUGUAUGAUCCAAGGUACUCAGUGUCUUAAAUGUAUAAAUAGGUAUUGGAAGUUUUAAAGACUUUCUAAUGGACGGGUUCCAAAGAUAGAUAUGGUUCCUACAACACUCGUGAUCAUCCGCAAGACACAAAAGACCAUUACAGCUACCCACAAUAUUAAAGUAAUAGCUUGUUCGCUCAAAUGGCAAAUCAAACUGCUCGUAUUGAUCAUCAUUCUCAUUGUCACGGAACAAAGCAAACAUCUCUUCUUCCGGGUUUAUAGCGUGAUAUUGCAUUAGGAUGUAAUCGUCUUGUUUUCGGUUGAGGUGGGUGUAGAUAAAACUAGGACUAGUAAGAAGAGAGUAUCAUGACUUGCAAACGCUUGUGCAUUGAAGGAUUGAUUUGAUUGGCAGUUUUAUGAAGAUGUCAAUCAUCAACUCUUGUGACAAAUAAUCAGACAUUCUUUUUAUCCUAUAAUAGGAUCUCCUCAAGUGGUUAAAUAUCUCUUUUCUUCUUGGUUUUAUUUGUGAGAUGUGGACUGUAAUGUUGGUUCUACUUCUCUGUUGUGACUGUUCAGUUGUUCAAUAUGCUUUCAAUUUGUUUCUAACCAACAAUUUUUUCAAAGUCCAAUAUGGUACUCUCUUUCGUUCACUUUUUCUUGUCAAUUAUUCAAAAAAAAUAAUUUUUUAUUUUUAUUUGUCACUUUUUACAUAUUAAAAAGAAUAUCUUUUAAUGUUUUAUACUAUGCAUCAAUUACUUAUUCCCUAAAUUAUUUUUCAAGACAUAAUGCUAACGAAUAUAAAUCAAUAUGAUAUUAUGGUAAAAUAAUCAUAUCAAUUGUUAUUUCUUAAAAAGGUGUGCAAAGUUAGAAUUGGACAAGUAAAAAUGAACGGAUUCGAGGGAGUACGGUUGUUAGACUAGUUACUUUAUAUGAAACGAAGUGUUGGUAGCGGAGAACUCACUGAAAAUGAGUAUAAUAAAAAUGAAGAUAUUAUGAUGAAUAUGUGAAUAUACCAGAAGAAAUGGAAUUAUAAAAAGGAGAUAUGUGGUACAAGGUCAGAUUGGGCUUCUAGGUGCACAACAUGAGAGAAGCGACUAUUUGCUUCAAAUUAAUAAUCAACUCGUUUAAUUUAUUCAACACAUUUUUACCCACUAAAUUUAUAUCCAUUUAACACCUUGUAAUUGUCAAUGACCUUUAGUAGAUUGUAAUCGAAGUCGUUCUGUUGAAGCUGCGGCAGCGCCCAUAAAUAGUAUACAUGCAAUCUAUGUUGCUCGAACUUUUCAUAAAUAUCAAUAAAUAUAUUUAGAAAUCACCCAUGAUGUAUUUUAGAUUUUGGCACAACGUCGAAAAUAAGAGUAUCCGUAAUCGACACAUGUUCCACAUGCACUUUCUCAACGCUAAUUCCGCCUUCAAUCGUCCACUUUCCACCCUACUUACUUUCUAUAAUAUCUUUUCUAGAAUAUAUAUACUAAAUUAUAUGUUGAUUAUUCUAUAAUCUAAACUCUUAUUUCAAUAUUGUUUCAACAAUAAUCAAGCAUUUCAUAAAGUCAAAGUAGGUUAGUUCAGAAUCCAAUCGAAAUCAAUAAUUUGAACCAAAAGAAAGUCAUUGGUUUAUUGGUAAUGGAUUAUUAAUUUAGCAAUUUUGAUAAUGGUUUCUAUUUAUCUUUUAUAUCGGGUUAUCGAUUCUUAAUGGUUCGAGGUUUUUCCCUAACGGGUUAAUUGAUAACGUGAUAAUAAAUUAAUAUAUUAUGUUUAUACCAUUUGGUAUAUAAAGUCCUUGACUUAGGAUUUAGUUUCAUGCUUUCAUUUUCCUUGACAUGUCUCACACUUUUCGGUUAUUCUACAAGGUGUCAGUGUUUGCUUUUUAGCAAGAUGGAAUCUGUCAACUCGUGUAUGGCUCAUUUAGUUUGUCAGCUUGUUUCUAAGUGUUUUUCAAUGAUUUAUUUUUGCGAAAUCUUAACGGCUAAAUCGAUUAUCAAACGAUGACGAUCAAUAACUGAUAAAUAGAUAUCAUAAUGGUUCUAUAUAUAAUGGUUUAACAUGUCUACAAAAUAAUAACCGAUAAAUCAAACUGAUAAACUUCAAAAGCGAACCAAAUCGAUGAUACUCAACCCUAAGUCAAAGCACUUAAACUUUUCUAAUUGCUCAAGCAAUCAUAUUAAUGUCAACUACGUUACAUGUACAUGUGUAGUGUUAAGUGACAGCUUCUUAUCAACAGUAAACGCCCAUAAGAAUAUAAAUUUUUAUUCCCACUUGCAUCCUAUGUUGCUGUUAUGUGUGGCAAGAGAAAAGACAAGUCGGUGCACAUAUAUAUUAUUUUCUAUGUAGGAGACAAUUUGGGUAACGGAGAAAGAGGAGGAAUUAAUGAAAUAUUUAUUUAUAAAAUGUACUAGUCUAUAUAAGCCAAAGUUGAGAUACUGAUCAAUGGUGCAUUGCAACAGCUUUAUAUUGUUGUAACUAAAGAAAGAAAAAGAAAACUAAGGUUCAUCAACAGCUUUGAAGAUGACAACGGUAAUCACCAUCUCUUCUAUCUUUAAUGUUUGUCUAAUUAAUCUUUGAUUUGAUCAUAACGAAAAUUUUUAGACCAAUUUUAUGUGGCUUAAUUAUUUCUAAUGCUAUAUUUUGGUUGAGUACAGAUGACUGAGAUGAGAGUACAUAUGGAUUGUGCUGGAUGCGAGAGUAAAGUUAGAAAAUCUCUCGAGAAAGUUAAAGGUAAUAACGUAAUAUACUUCUUAGAAUUGAGACGGAAUAUAUUAAGAUUAUUAGUUUAUAAAUUAUGAAUUACAUUUUUUUUUUUUUUUGCUUACCAAAUUCUGAAUAUAUGUGAUUUGUACAUGUUACAUAAUCUUUUUAACAUAAAGAAGUACAAAGUUUGAAUCAAAAUUAUUGAAAUCCACAAAACUCGUAACUACUACAAUAUAUGUUUCAUACCCUACCUUAGAAAAAUGAUGAUUUAAAUUAUUUUAGUACUAUAUAUAUCACUGAUCAGUUUACAUAUUGUAGCAAGUUAUAGCAGGUACCUUGUCUUAAUAUUUUAGCCUGAUACUAUUAAAAGUAAAAUUUGUACUGUCAUGGGAAAUAUAAUUUAAGUAUUAAACUCAGAAUGACAAAAUUCAAAUUAGUUUGUUAAACUAAGUAUCUAAUUUUGUAACUUUUUUUUAUGUAUAUUUCAGGUGUUGAUAAUGUAGAAAUAGAUAUGGCCAUGCAAAAAGUGACAGUAACAGGAUGGGCAGACCAAAAGAAAAUACUCAAAACAGUAAGAAGAACUGGUAAACGAGCUGAGAUAUGGCAGUUUCCUCACAAUCCUGCCAUGAGAAAUAAUAACCCUAAUCAUGUCACUGAUUAUUAUUAUCAGCAGCAAGGUUGUGGUGGCCCGUCCACUUAUUACAGCGGAGAGCCACCAGCCUCCGCCUAUAACUAUCGUAAGCACGGCUAUGAUAACUAUGGCCGUGCUUAUAGUCUUUAUAGGGGCAACUCGAACACGUUUGGUAGUCGUGCUGGUGAUGCAUUUAGUGAUGAGAAUCCCCAUGGUUGUAAAAUUAUGUGAGUGUUAUUGGUUUAAAUAAAUGCACCUUUUUGGUGUUUUAAUUUUUGUUGAAUUCUAUAUAUAGAUUAAAUUAUCAAAGUGUAAAUGCAUUAUAUGUGUGUAAGCUUUUUAAGUAGUAAUAUUUUUAAAAGGAUAAUAGCCAUGAAAAUAUCUGAACUUUAACCAAAAUUUUAGUGGAGCAUAUUCAACUUUGCGGGGGUCCUAUUACCCCUAUACUUUUUUAAUCGGAAUUAAUCCCCCCGGGGAAUUUUUUUAAAGUGGAAUUAAUCCCCCAAAACGUAUACCCAGUUUUUUAGGUGGAAAGUGUGGUACACGCUCGUUGUCUUCUCCAUUUUAUCACUUUUCAACAUUUUUUCACCAUUACAACCAUAUUAAAGAUUCCACAACUCAAAUUCAUCCUACAAAUCAAAUUUCAAAUAAUUUCAUUGAGUCAAUUUCAAAUUCCAAGUCCAUUCUUAUCACACAAGUUUCCAAAUUCAAUUUCUAGUUUCAAACUUUGAAUUCCGUUGAGUUUAAUCGAAAAUUUUCUUGCACAUUGAAUUUAUAUAAUAAGAACAGUGAAAUUAUGGUUUUUAAAUUUAAUUGAAAAUAGCAAGAAGGUAUUAAGAACUAAUAAACCUACGCAUUGAAUAUAGCAAAGUUAGAAUAAAAUACUACACAGAAAUUGCUAAAACUUCAAUAGGAUAAAAUAAUAAACUACACAAAUUAAUGAAUACAUCUUACGAAAAGAAUAAAUCAUUAAAACCAACAAUAAAAAAUAUUUUUACUAGGAAAAAGGAUGAAUAUUAUGUAGUAUGUCAAAAAGAACAUGUAAUAGACUGCAGAUAUGCAAAAGGAAAAGCUAGUAUACCAUUAGUAACAAAAAGAAUAAUUAAUAAAGAAAUAAAUGAUAUAAAAAGUAAAGGAGAUCCAAUAAAAUAUGUACACCUUGGAGGUACAGAGAUAUUAAUAAAAGCAUGUUUUAGAGAAGGAAUAGAUACACCAAUAGAAUUAUAUUUAGCAGACGAUAGAAUUAUAAAACCUAUAGAAAAAAGCAUAAUAACUGCCGUAAAAGGAAAUCUAAUAUACCAAAAAUUUAAAUUUAUAAUAAGUGCAAAUUAUUCAGUAGCAGUAACAGAUAGGAAUAUAGAUAAAUCAUUAGUAUUAUAUUGGAAAAUAUCAGGAAUAGAAUUAACCCCAGGAAGUAAAAUAUUUACAGCAAGAUGCAAAAAUUUAUAUGUAUUAACAACAAAACAUAAAAUAACAGGAAAAAUAAGAUUAACAAAAUACGAAUAGAAAGUCCAUUCGAACAAUCAGUAAAAACAAUAGAUUAUAAUGAUUAUAGCUAUAGAGACAUAGAUAUAGAAGAAAAUUUAGAAAUAAUAAAUGAUAGAAUAAGUACAACGGAAAGAAUAGUUGAUGAAAAACCAGAAUCAUCAAAUUCAUCAAAAAGAACAAGUUAUGAAAUAAAUUCAACAAAUAAUUUAAAUCAAUAUUACAUAACAGGAAAGGUAAAUGAAAAAGAAUAUUUAAUACUCUUAAAUACAGGACAAGAAGAAAAUUAUAUAGCAAAAUAUCUAGUAAAAAAUGAAGAAAUAAAAACUGAUAAUGAUAUAUGCCCAGAUCUACCAAGAAGUUUAAUAAAUAGUAAAAAUAUAGCAGAAAAAGAAAUAAUAAUAGGAAUUAGAAAAAUAAAAAUAGAAUUUGAAGUAAAGGAAGAAAUGCAAAAAACAGACAUAAUAUUAGGAAUAAAAUGGCUAGAACAAGUAAAACCAUAAAAUAUAGAACAUACACAAUUAACCUUAACAUAUAACAGAGAGAAAAUAUUCUUAAGAAGAGCCUUACCAUAAAAUGAAAAUAUAUGUAUUAAUGAAGAUAGUAGUAGAAGGAUAUUAUAGUAGAUAUUAUACGCCUAUGAUAGAUACAGGAGCAGAAGCUAAUUUAUGUAGAUAUAAUUGCUUACCAGAAAGCAAAUGGGAUAAACUAAAAACACCAAUAAUAGUUAAAGGAUUUAAUAAUGAAGGAAGCUUAAUUACUUAUAAAGCUAGGAAUGUAAAAAUACAAGUAUGGGAUAAGAUAUUAACAAUAGAAGAAAUUU